CCUACGGGAGGCAGCAGCGAGGAAGAUUGGUCAAUGGGGGCAAGUGUGAACCAGGCAUGCCGCGUGCAGGAUGACGGCCCUAUGGGUUGUAAACUGCUUUUSCACGGGAAGAACCCUCCGACGUGUCGGAGACUGACGGUCCCGUGGGAAUAAGCAUCGGCUAACUCCGUGCCAGCAGCCGCGGUAAUACGGAGGAUGCAAGCGUUAUCCGGAUUUAUUGGGUAAAAGGGUGCGUAGGUGGGCUUAUAAGUCAGCGGUGAAAUCCCCCGGCUCAACCAGGGAAUUGCCGUUGAUACUGUUAGCCUUGAGUACAGUUGAAGUGGGCGGAAUGUAGCAUGUAGCGGUGAAAUGCAUAGAUAUGGAACAGCACACCAAUAGCGAAGGCAGCUCAGUAAGUUGUAASUGACAGUAAUGCAAGAAAGCGGGGGGAUCACACAGGAUUAGAUACCCUGGUAGCCCCCGCUGUAAACGAUGAUCAMUCGUUGKKGGMGAUAUACAGUCAGCGAGGAACGAAAGUAUAACGUCC
rnacentral:rRNA from 1 species